GAAGUACUCCAUCCGUCCGAAAAAGCUUGUCCCAAGCUUGUCCCUCAAAUGGAUGUAUCUAACACCAAGUUAGUGCUAGAUACAUCCAUUUGAGGGACAAGCUUUUUCGGACGGAGGGAGUACAAA
rnacentral:pre_miRNA from 1 species